ACCGGAUUAGAUACCCGGGUAGUCCCAGCUGUAAACUAUGCAAACUCAGUGAUGCAUUGGCUUGUGGCCAAUGCAGUGCUGCAGGGAAGCCGUUAAGUUUGCCGCCUGGGAAGUACGUACGCAAGUAUGAAACUUAAAGGAAUUGGCGGGGGAGCACCACAAGGGGUGAAGCCUGCGGUUCAAUUGGAGUCAACGCCAGAAAUCUUACCCGGAGAGACAGCAGAAUGAAGGUCAAGCUGAAGACUUUACCAGACAAGCUGAGAGGUGGUGCAUGGCCGUCGCCAGCUCGUGCCGUGAGAUGUCCUGUUAAGUCAGGUAACGAGCGAGAUCCCUGCCUCUAGUUGCCACCAUUACUCUCAGGAGUAGUGGGGCGAAUUAGCGGGACCGCCGCAGUUAAUGUGGAGGAAGGAAGGGGCCACGGCAGGUCAGUAUGCCCCGAAACUCUGGGGCCACACGCGGGCUGCAAUGGUAACGACAAUGGGUUCCGAAUCCGAAAGGAGGAGGUAAUCCUCAAACGUUACCACAGUUAUGACUGAGGGCUGCAACUCGCCCUCACGAAUAUGGAAUCCCUAGUAACUGCGUGUCAUUAUCGCGCGGUGAAUACGUCCCUGCUCCUUGCACACACCGCCCCGUCGUUUCAUUGAAGUGAGCUUUUAGUGAGGUGACGCCUGAUUGGCGUUAUCGAACUUGAGGUUCGUGACAAGGGAAAAGUCGUAACAAGGUGACCGUAGGGGAACCUGCGGUCG
rnacentral:rRNA from 1 species